rnacentral:rRNA from 1 species
GACAGAGGGUGCAAACGUUGUUCGGAAUUACUGGGCGUAAAGCGCAUGUAGGCGGCUCGGAAAGUCGGAUGUGAAAGCCCAGGGCUCAACCCUGGAAGUGCACUCGAAACUCCCGAGCUGGAGUCCCGGAGAGGAAGGCGGAAUUCUUGGUGUAGAGGUGAAAUUCGUAGAUAUCGAGAGGAACACCUGUGGCGAAGGCGGCCUUCUGGACGGUGACUGACGCUGAGAUGCGAAAGCGUGGGGAGCAAACAGG